UACAUGUGGGGCAAGCGUUGUUCGGAAUUACUGGGCAUAAAGGGUGCGUAGGCGGUUUGUUAAGUCACUGGUGAAAGUUUUCGGCCCAACCGGAAAAUUGCCUGUGAUACUGGCGAAUUUGAGUGCGUGAGGGGUGGGGGGAACGAGCAGUGUAGCGGUGAAAUGCGUAGAUAUUGCUCGGAAGGCCGGAGCCGAAGGGGCCCCACUGGUACGUAACUGACGCUGAGGCACGAAAGCGUGGGGAGCAAACAGG
rnacentral:rRNA from 1 species